rnacentral:rRNA from 1 species
UACGUAGGGUGCAAGCGUUGUCCGGAAUUAUUGGGCGUAAAGCGCACGUAGUCGGCUUUGCAAGUCGGGUGUGAAAUCCCCGGGCUCAACCUGGGAACUGCAUCCGAGACUGCAUUGCUAGAGUAUGGGAGAGGGAAGCGGAAUUUCUGGUGUAGCAGUGAAAUGCGUAGAUAUCAGAAGGAACAUCAGUGGCGAAGGCGGCUUCCUGGACCAAUACUGACGAUCAGGUGCGAAAGCGUGGGGAGCAAACAGG